rnacentral:rRNA from 1 species
GGUGAACGCUGGCGGCGUGCUUAAGACAUGCAAGUCGAACGGCAGUCUUCGGACUGUAGUGGCGCACGGGUGAGUAACGCGUAACUGACCUACCCCAAAGUCGCGGAUAACGAUUCGAAAGAAUCGCUAAUACGUGAUGUGCUGUCAGAUUGUGUUCUGCCAGUAAAGAUUGAUUGCUUUGGGAUGGGGUUGCGUUCCAUCAGCUAGUUGGUGGGGUAAAGGCCCACCAAGGCGACGACGGAUAGCCGGCCUGAGAGGGUGGCCGGCCACAGGGGCAAUGAGACACGGGUCCCACUACUACGGGAGGCAGCAGUUAGGAAUCUUCCACAAUGGGCGAAAGCCUGAUGGAGCGACGCCGCGUGAGGGAUGAAGGUCUUCGGAUCGUAAACCUCUGAAUCAGGGACGAAAGACACUUCGGUGGGAUGACGGUACCUGAGUAAUAGCACCGGCUAACUCCGUGCCAGCCGCCGCCGUAAGAC